AUGCUGCCUCGUUUUCCUCUCGUUUCUGUGAUGUCUUUAACGGGCGAUGUGAGCGCUGGGACAGUGACUGCUGCCUGCAGCUGGAAAAUCAAUGAAGAGCUAAAUCUGGAGCAGGAAGGCUCUCGUGUUCCUUUCCCUGGCUGUACCAGUGCCUCUAAGUACAGUGCUGCACGGCUGAAGCUGGGGAAGCGCAUCAAUCCACGUUUCCAGGCGCCUCUGGCACAGCACUGCGUGGGUCCCAGCCUGGUGCUUUGUGCCUGUUCCAGGGCUCAGCUGCGGGUCUCACGCUGCCGUUCCCCUCUGCUGGAGCAGCCUCCCCUGGGGCAGGGCAGGGGGGCUCCAGGGGCUCCCCAAGCCGCAGCCGGGGCUGUUCCCAGAGCUGGGGCCAGCCCUGGCCGCUGCCCACAGGGGUUGCUGCAGCUGCUGUGUUCUCCGAUGCCUUCUUGCUCUCCUUUGCCAAAACGCAGAUCUCACUGGUCCUUUUCAAGGUCAAAAUGGGUCAGAAACCAUAUUUUAUUUAUUUUUUUUCCUAACACAGGAGGAUUUCCACCCACAGGGCCAGCAACAAAGGGGAAACGAGGACACAUGCAUGUUCCUACAUGUACAAGAGCUUUUGUUACAACUCGCUGUGCCUGCUGCUGUUGGAGGCGAGCUGUGGGGCUCGGCUGUGGGGCUCAGCUGGCGGAGCAGGCGCUGGGGACGGAUCCAGCCCUGGGGACCGGGUGGGAAGCACCCAGCACCACCCAGUGCUCCCCACCAGGGAUGGGUGGCGGCGAUGGGGGGCCCCAAGGCGAAACCCAACCCAGGAUGAGGAUUCCGGGAGCUUCUUGGGGUUCGGCUUUGCAUUUGGGGAUCUUCACUCUUCGGGGCUUUCCCCCAAAAGCCGGGCCGGGCCGGGCCGCAUCCUGCACAGCCCGCGGCCGGGCGGCGGCGCUGCCUGGGGGUUUGCUGCCCUCAGCAGGCUCCGGGGCGAACGGCAGCGAGCGCAGCCCCGAGACAACCCCAAGCCCACCCGAGCUGGCAUUU
rnacentral:lncRNA from 1 species